rfam:Cuora amboinensis u17 snoRNA gene
CCAAUAUGGUAAUCCGUUGAGGUUACUUGUGGCUCUGUCCAAGUGGUAUAUGGGAGCAAAGCCCUAAGUGCAAUGGUGUACAAUCCCCUUCCACAGUGUUGAAGAGCAAGCCUGUCUCUGAUUCUAGAGCUGAUGUGGAUAGCAUCCUAUAUAUUUUAUUUUAUAACUUCUCAGUCUCUAGACAAUUACUGAGGAGAAACCAUGCAGGGUGCAACU